rnacentral:rRNA from 1 species
CAGUCGCCGCGGGAAUACGAAGGGUGCAAGCGUUACUCGGAAUUACUGGGCGUAAAGCGUGCGUAGGUGGUGGUUUAAGUCCGUUGUGAAAGCCCUGGGCUCAACCUGGGAAUUGCAGUGGAUACUGGAUCACUAGAGUGUGGUAGAGGAUAGUGGAAUUUCCGGUGUAGCAGUGAAAUGCGUAGAGAUCGGAAGGAACAUCUGUGGCGAAGGCGACUAUCUGGGCCAACACUGACACUGAGGCACGAAAGCGUGGGGAGCAAACAGGAUUAGAUACCCGGGUAGUCCCUGUCUCUUAUAA